AACGAACGCUGGCGGCAUGCCUAACACAUGCAAGUCGAACGAAGUCUUCGGACUUAGUGGCGCACGGGUGCGUAACGCGUGGGAAUCUGCCCUUGGGUGCGGAAUAACUUCUCGAAAGGGAUGCUAAUACCGCAUAAUGUCGUAAGACCAAAGAUUUAUCGCCCAAGGAUGAGCCCGCGUAAGACUAGCUAGUUGGUGGGUAAAGCCUACCAAGGCGACGAUCUUUAGCUGGUCUGAGAGGAUGAUCAGCCACACUGGGACUGAGACACGGCCCAGACUCCUACGGGAGGCAGCAGUGGGAAUAUUGGACAAUGGCGAAGCCUGAUCCAGCAAUGCCGCGUGAGUGAUGAAGGCCCUAGGGUUGUAAAGCUCUUUUACCAGGGAUGAUAAUGACAGUACCUGGAGAAUAAGCU
rnacentral:rRNA from 1 species